rnacentral:rRNA from 1 species
GAUGAACGCUGGCGGCGUGCCUAAUACAUGCAAGUCGAGCGAACAGAUGAGGAGCUUGCUCCUCUGACGUUAGCGGCGGACGGGUGAGUAACACGUGGAUAACCUACCUAUAAGACUGGGAUAACUUCGGGAAACCGGAGCUAAUACCGGAUAAUAUAUUGAACCGCAUGGUUCAAUAGUGAAAGACGGUUUUGCUGUCACUUAUAGAUGGAUCCGCGCCGCAUUAGCUAGUUGGUAAGGUAAAGGCUUACCAAGGCAACGAUGCGUAGCCGACCUGAGAGGGUGAUCGGCCACACUGGAACUGAGACACGGUCCAGGCUCCUACGGGAGGGAGCAGUAGGGAAUCUUCCGCAAUGGGCGAGAGCCUGACGGAGCAACGCCGCGUGAGUGAUGAAGGUCUUCGGAUCGUAAAACUCUGUUAUUAGGGAAGAACAAAUGUGUAAGUAAAUAUGCACGUAUUGACGGUACCUAAUCAGAAAGCCACGGCUAACUACGUG